UCGAGCGAGAAGCCCGCAAGGGUGAGUAAAGCGGCGCACGGGUGAGUAACACGUGGGUAAUCUUCCUUGGAGCCCGGAAUAACUCCCCGAAAGGGGUGCUAAUGCCGGAUGAGACCACGGGAUCUCCGGAUCCUGAGGGAAAAGGCGGCCUCUGUACACAAGCUGUCACUCCAAGAUGAGCCCGCGGCCCAUCAGCUAGUUGGCGGGGUAAUGGCCCACCAAGGCAUCGACGGGUAGCUGGUCUGAGAGGACGAUCAGCCACACUGGAACUGAGACACGGUCCAGACUCCUACGGGAGGCAGCAGUGGGGAAUUUUGCGCAAUGGGCGAAAGCCUGACGCAGCAACGCCGCGUGUGUGAUGAAGGUCUUCGGAUCGUAAAGCACUGUCGGGAGGGACGAAUAAGGCGGCGGCUAAUAUCCGCAGCCGAUGACGGUACCUCCAAAGGAAGCACCGGCUAACUCUGUGCCAGCAGCCGCGGUAAUACAGAGGGUGCAAGCGUUGUUCGGAAUUAUUGGGCGUAAAGCGCGUGUAGGCGGCCUUGCAAGUUGGGUGUGAAAGCCCUCGGCUUAACCGAGGAAGUGCGCCCAAAACUACAGGGCUUGAGUACCGGAGAGGGUGGCGGAAUUCCCGGUGUAGAGGUGAAAUUCGUAGAUAUCGGGAGGAACACCAGUGGCGAAGGCGGCCACCUGGACGGAUACUGACGCU
rnacentral:rRNA from 1 species